UACGACUACAUAUCAGGCAUAUCAAUAAGCGGAGGAAAAGAAACUAACAAGGAUUCCCUUAGUAACGGCGAGUGAAGCGGGAAGAGCUCAAAUUUGAAAUCUUCAAGGUUUUACCUUGACGAAUUGUAGUUUAAAGAAGUGUUUUCUGUUGAAGUUUUGGUAAAAGUUCUUUGGAAUAGGACAUCAUAGAGGGUGAGAAUCCCGUAUUUGACCAUUAUUUUCAGCUGUGUGAUACACUUCCAAAGAGUCGGAUUGUUUGGGAAUGCAGUCCAAAAUGGGUGGUAAAUUUCAUCUAAAGCUAAAUAUUGGCGAGAGACCGAUAGCGAACAAGUACCGUGAGGGAAAGAUGAAAAGAACUUUGAAAAGAGAGUUAAACAGUACGUGAAAUUGUCAAAAGGGAAGCGUUUGACACCAGUGUUGUUUUCUCGAAAAUCAAUUAAAAAAGGCUGGAUUUUGUGUUGUAUUGACCUUAAUCAGCUUUCUUCACUCUUUUCUUGUCUUUUUUAAUGCACUUUUCGUUUAACAAGUCAACAUCAGUUUCUUUUGUUGUAAAAGGGUCAUUGGAAGGUGGCUUUCUCUUCGGAGAAAGUGUUUAUAGCCUUUGAUCUCUGCAAUCGGAGAGACUGAGGUCUGCAGCGUAGAUCCUUCGGGGUUAGAUACAUUUGUGCUAAGUUAUAGCUUUUCAUAGACAACUUGUUGACUAUGUUUAGCCUUGUAACUUACCCGCUUAUGCUAUUUUACCUACGCUUAGGAUGUUGAGCGCAUGUCUCUCUCU
rnacentral:rRNA from 1 species